rnacentral:rRNA from 1 species
AUUGAACGCUGGCGGCAUGCCUUACACAUGCAAGUCGAACGGCAGCGGGGACUUCGGUCCGCCGGCGAGUGGCGAACGGGUGAGUAAUGUAUCGGAACGUACCAUUCAGUGGGGGACAACGUAGCGAAAGUUACGCUAAUACCGCAUAUUCUGUGAGCAGGAAAGCAGGGGAUCGCAAGGCCUUGCGCUGAUUGAGGGGCCGAUGUCAGAUUAGCUAGUUGGUGAGGUAAAGGCUCACCAAGGCGACGAUCCUGUAGCGGGUCUGAGAGGAUGAUCCGCCACACUGGAACUGAGACACGGUCCAGACUCCUACGGGAGGCAGCAGUGGGGAAUUUUGGACAAUGGGGGCAACCCUGAUCCAGCCAUGCCGCGUGAGUGAAGAAGGCCUUCGGGUUGUAAAGCUCUUUCGGCCGGGAAGAAAUCGCACGGGCUAAUACCCUGUGUGGAUGACGGUACCGGAAUAAGAAGCACCGGCUAACUACGUGCCAGCCGCCGCAGUAAUAC